GUAUAAUGCAAGUCGAGCGAACAGAUAAGGAGCUUGCUCCUUUGACGUUAGCGGCGGACGGGUGAGUAACACGUGGGUAACCUACCUAUAAGACUGGGAUAACUUCGGGAAACCGGAGCUAAUACCGGAUAACAUUUGGAACCGCAUGGUUCUAAAGUGAAAGAUGGUUUUGCUAUCACUUAUAGAUGGACCCGCGCCGUAUUAGCUAGUUGGUAAGGUAACGGCUUACCAAGGCGACGAUACGUAGCCGACCUGAGAGGGUGAUCGGCCACACUGGAACUGAGACACGGUCCAGACUCCUACGGGAGGCAGCAGUAGGGAAUCUUCCGCAAUGGGCGAAAGCCUGACGGAGCAACGCCGCGUGAGUGAUGAAGGGUUUCGGCUCGUAAAACUCUGUUAUUAGGGAAGAACAAAUGUGUAAGUAACUGUGCACGUCUUGACGGUACCUAAUCAGAAAGCCACGGCUAACUACGUGCCAGCAGCCGCGGUAAUACGUAGGUGGCAAGCGUUAUCCGGAAUUAUUGGGCGUAAAGCGCGCGUAGGCGGUUUCUUAAGUCUGAUGUGAAAGCCCACGGCUCAACCGUGGAGGGUCAUUGGAAACUGGGAAACUUGAGUGCAGAAGAGGAAAGUGGAAUUCCAUGUGUAGCGGUGAAAUGCGCAGAGAUAUGGAGGAACACCAGUGGCGAAGGCGACUUUCUGGUCUGUAACUGACGCUGAUGUGCGAAAGCGUGGGGAUCAAACAGGAUUAGAUACCCUGGUAGUCCACGCCGUAAACGAUGAGUGCUAAGUGUUAGGGGGUUUCCGCCCCUUAGUGCUGCAGCUAACGCAUUAAGCACUCCGCCUGGGGAGUACGACCGCAAGGUUGAAACUCAAAGGAAUUGACGGGGACCCGCACAAGCGGUGGAGCAUGUGGUUUAAUUCGAAGCAACGCGAAGAACCUUACCAAAUCUUGACAUCCUUUGAAAACUCUAGAGAUAGAGCCUUCCCCUUCGGGGGACAAAGUGACAGGUGGUGCAUGGUUGUCGUCAGCUCGUGUCGUGAGAUGUUGGGUUAAGUCCCGCAACGAGCGCAACCCUUAAGCUUAGUUGCCAUCAUUAAGUUGGGCACUCUAGGUUGACUGCCGGUGACAAACCGGAGGAAGGUGGGGAUGACGUCAAAUCAUCAUGCCCCUUAUGAUUUGGGCUACACACGUGCUACAAUGGACAAUACAAAGGGCAGCUAAACCGCGAGGUCAUGCAAAUCCCAUAAAGUUGUUCUCAGUUCGGAUUGUAGUCUGCAACUCGACUACAUGAAGCUGGAAUCGCUAGUAAUCGUAGAUCAGCAUGCUACGGUGAAUACGUUCCCGGGUCUUGUACACACCGCCCGUCACACCACGAGAGUUUGUAACACCCGAAGCCGGUGGAGUAACCAUUUAUGGAGCUAGCCGUCGAG
rnacentral:rRNA from 1 species